ACUAUGCUUAAGCAUAGUGUUUUGAGUCACAUAUAGGUGAUUUUCACUAUUUAUAAGAAAAAAUUUCCAAAUUGCUUCCCUUUGAUGGCUCUAUCCUACUUGCUCAAUCAACCAAGGUUCAAACCUUGGUUCUUGCAUAUUUCAAAAAAAAAAAUUCCCUUCUUUAUUUCCUGAUUCAUUGCCCCAUGUGCUUCCUUCUCCUCCACGUGACCCCCCUUAUUUACCUUAUUCUUUCCAUUUCCUCCAAUUUUCACUUUCUCUUUCAACCUAUCCCUCAUAUGCGGAUCUGCCCCUUCUCCUCUCUCCUCCAUCCUCCGUCGUCCGCCCCUUUCUCCACUAGGACCACCAUAUCUUUUCUUCUCAUCACUCUCCAUCAGAACUUCAGUUUCUCAAUCGCGAAAUCUCUUUAUGUAUCUCUCAUUGCUGGGACAUGCGAAACAUCUGGUCAUCUGAUCGAUUUCUUUGGGUAAUUUGUUCUUGUUCAUCUUUUAUAAUCAUCUGAUUGUAUUUGAUUUAAUUUUUCGCAGAUUUGUUGAUUUAUUAAAUGUUUAAUUUUUUUUUCAAUUGUUAAUAUGUUUACCGUUCUUCUUUUUUGAUUUUAUUGGAUUUUCGUUUUUUGUUGAUACUUUUCCCAAUACUACGCACUAACACCAUCAAUUAUUUGCUUAAAUGGGUACUGUGGAGGAUUUAACGGAGAGUUGUCGAUGGCCGAACAGGGUGGCCAUUAUUGCUCCCAAAAAACGGUAGAUUGUUCAAAUAUUGUUGGUGCCAGCACUUGUUGAAUGUGGCUAAAGUUCACUUUUGCUGACACACAUUACUAGGACAACAGUACCUGUAACUCUGUUAUCAUUGUCGUCCUCUGAUGGCGUACCUUUUUACUCAACUUCUUAGAUUAAGUUCAAGAGGCUAGACGCUUCAAAAUUCUCCAUGUGCCUAACAAGAUGCUGUCAUGUGGAUGAUCGUGGGACCACUCUUAUACCCUUGGAAAACUAUUUGAGACCUACGUUGGUCACUUCAUUAGAUGAAAGAAGAAAGUCAGUGUUAGUUGAAUAUUCAGAUAGAAUGAAACACAUGUUUGAUAACUUGCAAAGGAAUUUGAUGAGGUUUAUAUUCAUAUACGUCUAUGGUCUUGCUGGAAAAAGCUUUUAAGUUUCUUUAUCUUCAAUUAAUUCACCGUUUGUCAAUUAACCUGGUGGCUGGGGGGGAUAAGUUUAUAAGCGAGAUCUUGGUUCACUUAUAUCCAGAUAUGUUUAGUUUACAAAUACAUAUAUAAAUGGAUCAAUGUUUAUUUUGUUUGA